rnacentral:rRNA from 1 species
AUUGAACGCUGGCGGCAGGCCUAACACAUGCAAGUCGAGCGAGCGGCGGGCGGGUGAGUAAUGUAUGGGGACUGCCCGCUAGAGGGGGUUAACUACUGGAAACGGUGGCUAAUACCGCAUACGGUCGGAUAAGCCAUCUGGGAUCAGCUAGUAGGUAAGGUAAUGGCUUACCUAGGCGACGAUCGCUCGCCGGUCUGAGAGGAUGAUCAGCCACACGGGGACUGGGACACGGCCCAGAGUCCUACGGAGGGAGCAGUGGGGAACAUGGCACAAUGGGCGCAAGCCUGAUGCAGCCAGGCGGCGUGUAUGAAGAAGGCCCUAGGGUUGUAAAGUCCUUUCAGUCGGGAGGCGUUACCGACAGAAGAAGCACCGGCUAACUCCGUGCCAGCAGCCGCGGUAAUAC